GAUCUGAUCCAGCAAUGGGCCGAUUUGCCGAACAGAAGUCAGCAGAGGUCGUAGUACCGAGACGGGUAGGCAGCAAGCCGACAAGGGCUCGGGAAGGAC
rfam:Actinobacteria bacterium OK006 ctg59, whole genome shotgun sequence.